rnacentral:rRNA from 1 species
GCGACGACGGGUAGCCGGCCUGAGAGGGCGACCGGCCACACUGGGACUGAGACACGGCCCAGACUCCUACGGGAGGCAGCAGUGGGGAAUAUUGCACAAUGGGCGAAAGCCUGAUGCAGCGACGCCGCGUGAGGGAUGACGGCCUUCGGGUUGUAAACCUCUUUCAGCAGGGAAGAAGCGCAAGUGACGGUACCUGCAGAAAAAGCGCCGGCUAACUACGUGCCAGCAGCCGCGGUAAUACGUAGGGCGCAAGCGUUGUCCGGAAUUAUUGGGCGUAAAGAGCUCGUAGGCGGUUUGUCGCGUCUGGUGUGAAAUCUCGAGGCUCAACCUCGAGCUUGCAUCGGGUACGGGCAGACUAGAGUGCGGUAGGGGAGACUGGAAUUCCUGGUGUAGCGGUGGAAUGCGCAGAUAUCAGGAGGAACACCGAUGGCGAAGGCAGAUCUCUGGGCCGCAACUGACGCUGAGGAGCGAAAGCAUGGGGAGCGAACAGGAUUAGAUACCCUGGUAGUCCAUGCCGUAAACGUUGGGCACUAGGUGUGGGGCUCAUUCCACGAGUUCCGUGCCGCAGCRAACGCAUUAAGUGCCCCGCCG